rnacentral:rRNA from 1 species
UACGUAGGUGGCAAGCGUUGUCCGGAAUACUGGGCGUAAAGCGCACGCAGGUGGCUGAGUCAGUCGAUUGUGAAAGCCCUGGGCUUAACCUAGGAAUUGCAGUCGAUACUACUCGGCUAGAGUAUGGGAGAGGGCAGUGGAAUUCCCGGUGUAGCGGUGGAAAUGCGUAGAUAUCGGGAGGAACAUCAGUGGCGAAGGCGGCUGCCUGGCCCAAUACUGACACUCAGGUGCGACAGCGUGGGGAGCAAACAGG